CUUCAUUUAUCAACUAAACAAAAUCUCUUUCCUUCUUACAUUUAAAGGUCUUCUACCUUUAAUUGUUCUCCUACAUAAAUAUUAUACAUUCGCCGAUUAUUUUUUUGUUUAAGAGAUUAGAUGAGCGACUUUUUGGUUAAUUUUUCUUCAAAAUUGGAAAACAGAUAGAAUAAUGUUUGAAAAACUAUCUGUGAUAUUUUUGUAAAAGAUAAUAUCAGAAAAUCUGGAAUUUUGUUAUGAGUUCCAUUGCGCUGGUUUUGAAUUAAGUU
rnacentral:lncRNA from 1 species